rnacentral:lncRNA from 1 species
UCUCUGCUUAUCUCCCUGACUCAGUUCUGUCGCUAAUGUCAAACUUGCUGUACUGACUGUCUCCCAGGGCACCCUGUGCCCAGGUCGAGUCCACCCUGCCUUCUUGAUCUUCCUCCCAGCCCGCGGUCGCUGGACUGGGGGCGUGGCAGAGGCCGGAUCCCGCCCUCACCUCAGGGCUGCUGGGGCCUGGUCUCCAUGGCAACAAGCUGUACACUCCCGCAGCUUCCCGGGCAGUGGGUGCUGGCCACACGCCUGCCGGAGGGUCAUGGCCUCCCUGCCGUCGCAGCGCUACAGCUUCUCCAAGUCGAGGUAGGCGGUAACCCGGCUAAGGGCGGAGAGGAUGGCUUCCAGAGAGAAAGAUGACACCUCGUCCCGACCUCUGCAACACCUGAUGGCUUCUGUCCUUCGGGCUGGGGCUUCAGCCCCGCAGAAUUAGUGGUGCAGAAGCAGUUAGAAUUCUGGCUGACUUGUCUUUCCAGUGAGGACAUUACGUGUCAACAAAAAGGCAGGAUAACAAAAGGGCCAGCACACUUUAUUAGGAAUCACAACUAUCUUGUAUUGAACAUUAAUAUGCUGAAUGCUUUCUGUACCACGUAUAACCCUCACAACACUUCUAUGAGGUAGUUAAAUCACCAUUUUAAAGAAAUCUAAGCCUGGAGAGCUCAUAGUUUUACACAUACUUAUAAAUGGUGGAGUUAAAAUUUGAACCCAGGCUGGAUGUGGUGGUGAAGUCCUGUAUCCCAGCAACCUGGAAUGCUGAGGCAGGAAAAUCACAAGUUCGAGGCCAGCCUGAACAAUUUAGCAAGACCCUGUCUCAAAAUAAAAGAUAAAAAGGUCUAGGGAUGUAGAUCAGUGGUAAAAACAUUCCUGGGAUUAAUCCCAACAACUCAAGAGGUUGAGGCAGGAGGAUUAUAAAUUCAAAGCCAGCCUUAGCAAUUUAGUGAGACCCUGUUCCCAAAAUAAUUUCUUUUUUUGGUACUAAGGCACUGUAAUACAGUGGUACUCUACCACUAAACUAUGCCCCCAGCCCUUGAUUCAGUGGUCAAGUUCAAUCCCCAGUAUCCCCCCCCAAAAAAAAAAUACAUCCUCCCCAGCUCUCUUUAAACUUUGAGACAGGGUCUCACUAAAUUACCAAGGCAGGCUGAAACUUGUGAUCUUUCUGUCUCAGCCUCCUUCAAAAGAAAAAUUUUAAAAAUGACUGGGAACGUAGUUCAGAUGAACUCUCCUAGGUUCAACCCCCUAUUACCCCCCAAAAAAAUAAAUAAAUAAAAUGUUCCAAGACUGAGCUUCUAUAUCUCAAACAUGAGGAUGACACAGCCCACCUCACAGUCACUGUUGAAAACAUUUAAGUAAAAUAUGGGAAGCCCUGCCACAGUUCUUAUACAUCUAUAAUAUAAUUCUCAAUGCAAAAAAGCCUGACUGCGCCCAGACUCUAAUCAUUCAGGGGAUGCUGCCUUUACAAAAAAAAAAAAAAAAAAGCCUACAAAAUUCCCCUAGAACAGGAAAUAACAAUUUGAAGAUUUUAUCCAGAGCUAAUAGUAAACUUGAGAAAGUGAGUUGUUAUCUAUCACAGGCAUAAUCCAGGACACUGCAAUAAUCUACAAAAGGGAUGUAAAACAGACUCAGAAAGAGAAUCUCCAUCCAUUUCAGAAAGAAAGCAGAAUAUAAUUUCUGAGUGAUGAAUUUGGUGGCAAUACAAAAUAUCAUUCAUUCACCAUAGUCUUCCUUUACCAUUAUGUAGUGACAUACAUGGGUCUGGGCUGUUCCCUUCAAGGAGCAGUGUGAUUAUCCUCUUCCAGCUCCUCUUAGACCAGGGACAAUGUGAUGGAUAGGACAGACCUUAGCACUGUAGAACAUGUCAGCAGGAUCCUCUAAAAAAGAGCUUCAAAUUGUAUAUCUCCCUAGGGCAGGUAUCUCUUCCUUAAGGUCUUUUCUCCUUUCACCUUCACAUUCCUACAGAGUCUAUUGGUGGAUGGAACUCACAGCUUGAGGUGAGGUUGCUCAAUACCAGAUACACUCUUGAGAAACCCACUGCCUACCAUUGACUAAAUAAUUGAGUUCUCACCACCAUGGAUAUAAAAAUAUAUUUCUCAUUCCCAUUUGAAGGUUGGUGUAAAAUACUUAGAAGCAUCCUAGGCUUUUUGGAUAAGCCUACAGGCUCUACUGGGUGCUUUGUUUCUGUAAAUCUGUUUUUUACUAUUAUCUUCUUUCACAAAAAUGUUGUAGAGUUGUAUGACUGAAACAGUUUUCUUCUCUAUCAAUAUCUCUCAUCUACUAAAUUUUUCCAAUUGGAAAUUUCUUAUGAUUAUAUAUAGAGUUCCCCUCAGGUUUUCUGCUUACCUUGCCUUUUGUGAUGUUUCCAGAAUAAGCAAGAACACUACAAAAUGACUUGAUCUUGAUAGGAAGGUAUUGAUUUAACCCAGUGAGUAGUUGGGGUUGAUCUACUGUAUCAUCUUGUUUUCCAAGACUGCCUCAAACCCAUGUACAUCUGACCAGACACCUUUAUUUCUCUGCACUAACUUCUUUUUUUUAAUUUCAAACUGGAUUCUUAUUUCUCAUGUUUUGUCCACAUUUGCCCAAAGGAUUUGGGUUGUUACUGAUCCAUGGAGUAGGACUGAAGAAUUCACAGACAAGGUUUCCCAGCUGGGUUCAUGUGAAUGCUCUCAAGUUCCCUAGAGUUUUGAUAGUACGAGUCCCAUUUUUAGGGGCAAAGACACUGAGAUUCAUAGGUUAAGCAGCAUACCCAAGGUCAUCAGCUAACAAGGAGUAUGAACACAUAAGUCCACUUGGCAGUAUACUCUACCCUUUGGAUCUCUGAAAUUACUUCUUCCUUUUAUUCUACCUGGGCAAGCCUGCCCCCACAUGUAGUACUCCCUGCUGACUUCCAAGUGCCUCCAUAGCUUGAACAAGGCUGUUUCUCCUAAUAUUAAAAACUUCCUUAGGGUCCACUUUUUUCCCAUCCUGCUGUCAUAAUUAACAUCUGUGGAGCUUAUUGCAAUUUACACAGAUUUUUUGUUUUGUUUUGUUUUGAUACUAGGGAUUGAACUCAGGGGCACUCAACGAAUGCUGAGCCACAUCCCAGCCCUAUUUUAUUUUUUUAUUUUAUUUAGAGACAGGGUGUAAGUGAGCUGCGUAGUGCCUCGCUUUUGCUGAGGCUGGCUUUGAACUCAUGAUCCUCCUGCCUCAGCCUCCAUAACCGCUGAGAUUAUAGGCAUGUGCCACCGCACCCAGCUACAUAGUAUUUUUGUAUACCUCACUUUUUUAGUUGUAGAUGAACACAAUGCCUUUAUUUUAUUAAUGUUUAUGUAGUGCUGAGGAUUGAACCUCAGGUGUGCCAGGCAAGCACUGUACCACUGAGCCACAACCCCAGCCCUGUAUACCUCACUUUUAUUUAAACUUCACAACAUUGUGAGAGGCAAGGUAAGAAUUGUCUCCACUUCUUCUUUUAAAAAAAAAUAUUUAUUUUUUAGUUGUAGUUGAACACAAUACUUUUAUUUUAUUUAUUUAUUUUUAUGUAGUGCUGAGGAUCAAACCCAGGGCCUCGCACAUGCUAGGCAAGUGCUGAGCCACAACCUCAGCCCCUUGUCUCCACUUCUUUAAGAGGAAAGUAGACUGAGGAAUAUUAAAUGAAUGACCCAAGAGUGAUCCAUUUGGAACCCCAGAUGUCAGUCCCCAAAUCUUAUCAGCCAGGAAAUAGAGGAUUCAGACUCUGCACACCAGCUCUCGGACCCUAGACCCUGUGCUGCUUUUUUGCUAUCACCUACCUUUGGGAUCACCUCCUCAGAGUGUACCAGAAUUGUGAACAUGAAACCAUUAAUUAAAUAUAAAUCUAGAGUCUCUGGGUUCAUGGUUAGGGUGUCCUGCUGUUGCAAGAGUUGGUGAGACUCUGGUGAUGAUGUUUCAGGAAAAUGGUUUGGGUCCAGGGCCAGGGGCUUACUUGGCAACAUCUCUGAGACUCUGGAGGCAGUGCUAGAAGACCCAGAGGCUGACUCUGAUGGGAGGGAAGUCCAUGCCUUGUGGAUUUGGGAAGGAUAGGAGGGCUCUUCCUACUCUGGGAUCUGUUACCCACCACCACCUUCUCCUCUAUGCAGAACACACCCACAGUCUUCAGGAAUGAAGAUAGAUGACUGUCUCCGAGAACCCAAAAGCACCCAGAAGUGCAAGCUUUCUCAGAAACGAAAGACACUGGUUAGUGACAAUGCCUUUUUGGAUCUCCACAUGUCAUCCCCUAAACCCUAUCUGUCUGCCUGUCUGCAACUCAAAAGCACCACCGCCUGUCUGCAACUCAAAAGCACCCCCAUCCGAAAUACGCACACCAGAACAGCUUCUUCCUGGUCAGGAUAGUGUGGCUCACAAAGGCCAAGCCUCCCAGACUUUGGGGAAGAGAGGAAUGCACACUGGCCACUUGUCAUCUGAAAAACCUUCCCAGACCCUCCUCCUAGGCAGAGCCCUCAGACCUUUCCCUGCAGCUCAGCAUUCUGGAGUUUCUUUUUUUUUAAUAUUUAUUUUUUAUUUACAAGUGGAUACAUAUC